rnacentral:rRNA from 1 species
UACGUAGGGUGCGAGCGUUGUCCGGAAUUAUUGGGCGUAAAGAGCUCGUAGGCGGUCUGUCGCGUCGAUCGUGAAAACUCGGGGCUUAACUCCGGGCCUGCAGUGGGUACGGGCAGACUAGAGUGCGGUAGGGGAGACUGGAAUUCCUGGUGUAGCGGUGAAAUGCGUAGAUAUCAAGAGGAGCACCUGAGGUGAAGACGGGUUGCUGGGCCGACACUGACGCUGACAGCGCGAAAGCCAGGGGAGCAAACGGG